rnacentral:rRNA from 1 species
AUUGAACGCUGGCGGCAGGCCUAACACAUGCAAGUCGAGCGAAUGAGGGAAGCUUGCUUCCCGAUUUAGCGGCGGACGGGUGAGUAAUGCCUAGGAACCUGCCUAUUAGUGGGGGAUAACGUUCCGAAAGGAACGCUAAUACCGCAUACGUCCUACGGGAGAAAGUGGGGGAUCUUCGGACCUCACGCUAAUAGAUGAGCCUAGGUCGGGUUAGCUAGUUGGUGAGGUAACGGCUCACCAAGGCGACGAUCCGUAGCUGGUCUGAGAGGAUGAUCAGCCACACUGGAACUGAGACACGGUCCAGACUCCUACGGGAGGCAGCAGUGGGGAAUAUUGGACAAUGGGCGAAAGCCUGAUCCAGCCAUGCCGCGUGUGUGAAGAAGGUCUUCGGAUUGUAAAGCACUUUAAGUUGGGAGGAAGGGUUGUAAGCUAAUAUCUUGCAGCUUUGACGUUACCAACAGAAUAAGCACCGGCUAACUCUGUGCCAGCAGCCGCGGUAAUAC